rnacentral:rRNA from 1 species
UACGUAGGUGGCAAGCGUUUGUUCGGAAUUAUUGGGCGUAAAGCGCGCGUAGGCGGCUUUGUAAGUUAGAGGUGAAAGCCCGGAGCUCAACUCCGGAAUUGCCUUUAAGACUGCAUCGCUAGAAUCAUGGAGAGGUGAGUGGAAUUCCCAGUGUAGCGGUGAAAUGCGUAGAUAUUGGGAGGAACACCAGUGGCGAAGGCGGCUCACUGGACCGGUUCUGACGCUGAGGUGCGAAAGCGUGGGGAGCAACAGG